UACGUAGGGUGCAAGCGUUGUCCGGAAUUAUUGGGCGUAAAGAGCUCGUAGGCGGUUUGUCGCGUCGAAUGUGAAAACCCAGGGCUCAACCCCGGGCCUGCAUUCGAUACGGGCAGACUAGAGUUCGGUAGGGGAGUCUGGAAUUCCUGGUGUAGCGGUGAAAUGCGCAGAUAUCAGGAGGAACACCGGUGGCGAAGGCGGGACUCUGGGCCGAUACUGACGCUGAGGAGCGAAAGCGUGGGGAGCGAACAGG
rnacentral:rRNA from 1 species